rnacentral:rRNA from 1 species
GGCUCAGAUUGAACGCUGGCGGAAUGCUUUACACAUGCAAGUCGAACGGCAGCACGGGGCAACCUGGUGGCGAGUGGCGAACGGGUGAGUAAUAUAUCGGAACGUGCCCAAUCGUGGGGGAUAACGUAGCGAAAGUUACGCUAAUACCGCAUACGAUCUACGGAUGAAAGCGGGGGAUCGCAAGACCUCGCGCGAAUGGAGCGGCCGAUAUCAGAUUAGGUAGUUGGUGGGGUAAAGGCUCACCAAGCCAACGAUCUGUAGCUGGUCUGAGAGGACGACCAGCCACACUGGAACUGAGACACGGACCCGACUCCUACGGGAGGCAGCAGUAAGGAAUAUUGGACAAUGGACGGAAGUCUGAUCCAGCCAUGCCGCGUGAAGGAAGAAGGCGCUCAGCGUUGUAAACUUCUUUUGGAUGGGAAUAAUAAUGUCGACGUGCUCGGCACUUGAAGGUACCAUCAGAAUAAGCACCGGCUAACUCCGUG